UACGAAGGGUGCAAGCGUUAAUCGGAAUUACUGGGCGUAAAGCGUGCGUAGGCGGUCUUUUAAGUCUGCUGUGAAAUCCCCGGGCUCAACCUGGGAAUGGCAGUGGAUACUGGGAGGCUAGAGUGUGUCAGAGGAUGGUGGAAUUCCCGGUGUAGCGGUGAAAUGCGUAGAGAUCGAGAGGAACAUCAGUGGCGAAGGCGGCCAUCUGGGACAACACUGACGCUGAGGCACGAAAGCGUGGGGAGCAAACAGG
rnacentral:rRNA from 1 species